CGUUAUCACCGCCCUUUAACCCACAGAUUAGAAGUUAGAUUGUUGGAUACGAUUUGUCAUUCUCUCGUUUAUUAAUCCUUUCUGGUUUAACUUCAAUCUUUUUUCACUACAAUUACAAUCGUCUUCAUAAACUUUUGAUUCAAGUUCAAUUCCAGUGGAUGACCGUUAUCCUUAGCUCAGGCUUAGGAAGGAACCGACAAGAUACCAGUUUGGAGAUCGGAUGGUUGCACCUCCUUCCCCCUUCCAUCACUCCGUUAUCACCAGCUUGCCCUCCUAUCCUUAUCUCAUGCUUCUUCAUAUCCUUUUUGGCGCUUUUAUUAAUCCCCUUAAAAUGGGGGCGCGUCUGCUUCACGAUUUGCCUGCUGCACCGCCCUUCUCCCCCAAUGAGACUGCAAGUUUGGAGGAACCAAAGUUACUUGCCUCUGUCUUCUACCGUCGCUCUGCAAGCAGUCUUCCACUAUUUCUCCACCGCCCUACACGUUUGACAGGUGGCCAUCUAUUUUCUUUGCACACCUUCAUCCCCAAGCCAAGUCACCUUCCACUCCGUGAUUAGUCAUUCACCGUUUUCUACCACCACCAUUUUCACUAAUGGUUUUCUUUCAUCAAAAAAGACACUUGCUAUAAACCGCUUUCUUUCUCUUCAUCACAUUCAUUUUUGGGUUUCAUUUAUAUCUUUAUCUCUCUUCUGUUUCCAGCGACCCCAAUUGAAGCAAAGCCUUCCCCAUUUAAUUCAUCGACCCCAAGAACCCCCCGUGGUUUUUGGGGUGUGUGUCGGUGGUGGUUCAACUGACGACAAUGAUGAGCAGAUGUUCGGAUAAGUGUUAUGUUUACUUCCCGUUUCAAUUACUGGCUCCAUCUCUUCCUAUCAAAUGCUAUAAUAAUCACUUCAUUAACCAUCUUCUUCUUCUUUAAAAUUAGGGUUCUUAGUUGUAGAUUUUUUUUAAUUUGUCUGCUGAUGUUCUGCAACUUAAUCAUGAUAGAUGAGAAAAGAUCAGCAAGGAACGUGUUAUUGUUGCUUACAUCAUCGAGUUACUUCAAGAAAUAGGUUGUGAUGUUGCUGUCAAAAAGAUCAGGAAGAAAGGUGUUGUUGUUGCCUACAUGAUUGAGUAAAAUACUCCAGGAAAUGGAUUUUGUUGUUGCUGUCAAAAAGAUCAGGAAGGAAGGUGUGUGAGUUAAUUAACUGGGAAAAUCAAACUGUUUGUAGGUUUGUUCUCCAUCUACACAUUACUCUUUUUAUAAGAUUUUGUUUUUAUUUUUGGUGGGUUUUAUUGAGAGGUGUGACUUAAUUGGGGCUAUUGACCUUCCUUUUAUGAAGCCUUGAUUCCUGUUUCACAACAUCUUCUUGUUUUUUCCUCCUUGAAUCGUCUCGUUCUUCUACCGACACCCUUACUUGCUGCCAAGCUCCACCGUCUCACCUACUCUGCGUUUUCAUGUAAGGCCGUAAUCAACAAGACGUCGCCGACAUCUACGGUUCGAUUCCUGCCAGUAUCCCCUUAAGGUUUAAAAAGAUAUAGAUAUCCCCACAUCAUUAUUUUAUAACUUUCGGAUAAGAUUUACUGUUGUUCUCUGUGAAUUUCAAUUUUCUAUUUGGUUUGGAAUUUAGAUUUCUAUUUCUUGAUUACAUUUAGUUUAUACUUCUUGCUCUUUUUACAUAUUUGAAUUAAUUGAUUACUAUUUUGUCUUUUCAAGUUGUACUUUAUUAACAUAUAACAUGGCAAGACAUCCUCUUGUAUGUCGUUUUGUUAUUAUUUCUGUUGACAAGUUGUUAAAGGAGAAGAUGAGCAAAAGAUUUUCUAAUUUCUUGGAUUUCAAUUUUAGGGGUACAAUUUUAAAAUGAUAAUCAAAGUUUAAUAGAUGAAAAGCCUAUGCAUUCCUCCAUCUACCAACUGAUUAAUUACUUGCUACUCAGGAUCAGGGAAAGAAACAAAUAUCUUCCUAUGUAUUUCAUUUAUAUGCUUUAUAGUUGACAGGAAUGACAAUAAUAAGGGUAAAAUAUUUUUCAUAGCCAAUUAUUCUAUCAGUUGGUUGGUUUCAGGAAGGACCUUUGACAGCAAACCCCACCUUCUAAUAAAAUAGAAGGUGCACUAAAAGUUAAGAACUGCCAUCCAAAGAAAUUUGAUUGUGCCAACGUCCGAUAUACACAAGGGUUGGUUGGGAUUCUUUGUUAUUCAGUGGUUAUGCUUAUGCCCAUUUCUCUUUGGGAUAUAUUUUUAUAUUUUUGCAAAGCUUUUUACAAUAUGCAACUACUCUUAUAUUAUUUUGAUGCUUUGUAUGCAUAAGUUCUUAAUGGAUUAUUGGGACCUUUUCGGAAACCAAUAUACGCAAUGUACUUCCACUUUCACCUAUAAUAGUGAUGUGAUUCCAUUUCCUAACCCAUAACGGCAAUGUACUUUCAUAUCGUUAUUGAUAAUAGCAACAUACUUGGCUCUUUACUAAUAAUAGCAAUGUACUUACAAUUCCCUCAUGGGUCGUGCUAAGCACGGCCCUUCAAACGUACCUAGUAUAUAUAUAUGAACAAAUGUGAAGAAUAGUAUUAAAAGAAUCUAUGGUAUAUAUCUUUGAUGAUAUAUUGAUAUUCAUAUAAUAUUUUAGAGCGGUUAUCCGAGAUUCUAAUGAUUAUUAUCAUAACAUUAACUAAUUAGACGUUUUCCAGAUUAAGCUUAAUUAUCUCCAAUUUUAUCGAUCAAGAUUAUUUGAUUAGAAAAAAUCCAAAGCAAUAAAUAAUAUGAAAUAAAAAUAUUAAUAAAACACAUUAUGUGUAUGAGCAAUAUAAUUCAAUUCAUUUGAGAUAUCGUCAAAUGACAUUCUAACAAAAAUCAAUGGUAUAUAGCAUACGCACAACAUAAUUAUAUUGGAAAAAAAACAAAAGAAUCAAUCGCAUGGUCGCAUUCCAAAUGACUCGAAUACGUAUUAUAGUUUAGAAUAAUACAAAUACAAUGUGCGGGUGACUGGGUGACACCAAUGGCGGAUGCAUUAUGGAAGUAGUGUUAAUUUUUUUCGGAAAAAUUCGUUAUAUGUUGCGGUUUUAUAUCGGAAAAUAUAUUGGGCUACCCUAAAAAAUUUUAAGUUAUUUCUAAAUGGACCAAAAUACAAAUUAGCCCAAAUGGUCCGAAGAUUUUUAGCCCACACCAAUUAAUUUAAUGAAACAAAAAAGUAUUAAGCCGAAAAAAAAAGAAGAAAAAAAAAGGACGUGGUCGGGACUUGGGUUAUUGGAUCGUUACUCUGACUUCGUGAUUCAUCAAUCAUUAGUCGACUUCUCAAUUUUCGACUCCCAAGCUACAAAUCGAAUGUUGCGAUCGUCGACAUUGGAACAUCAAGUCAUCAACCAUUCUCAAUAGCAAAAUUUCGGGCAUGUCCU